rnacentral:rRNA from 1 species
AUGCCUCAUGCCGAGUUCACAAAGCUAGUCGUGACACUAUGGGCGAUAUGGGGGGCGCGGCGAAAGCUUAUCCACGAGGGGGAGCACCAGAGCCCAAUUGGGACUCAUUCAUUCAUCACAAGGUUUCUGGCAGAUUUGAGCGUUGCUUCCAGGCCGCAUGAAAUAACGAAGCCCAAAAGAGCUCCGGAGCGGGCGCCAGUCUGGAUUCCACCACCGGCGGAUCAUCACAAGAUAAAUGUUGAUGCAGCGAUUUGUAAACAACCUCCUGUGGGGGCUAUAAGUGCGGUUUGUAGGGACCGAACAAGGACAUACACUGGCUCAGCAGCGACGGUAUUCCAUGGUAUGACGGAUCCGCACAUACUUGAAGCUUUGGCAUGCCGGGAGGCUAUUGCAUUAGCCAGGGACCUUGCGCUUACUCAUGUGAAGGUGGCUUCUGAUUGCUCAUCGGAGAUCAUCGACUCAACCAGGGAGUUUCAGUCGUGUUCUUUCGCCCAUGAGAGACGUCUAUCCAAUAAGGAGGCUCAUGGAUUAGCUCGACAUGCUUUACAUUUAGGGGAGGGUCGCCAUGUAUGGUUGCUACACCCUCAUGAUACUUCUAUUAUUCCUGUAAUUCGCUCGAUUGAUCAAUAA